GAUGAACGCUGGCGGCGUGCCUAAUACAUGCAAGUCGAGCGAAUGGAUUAAGAGCUUGCUCUUAUGAAGUUAGCGGCGGACGGGUGAGUAACACGUGGGUAACCUGCCCAUAAGACUGGGAUAACUCCGGGAAACCGGGGCUAAUACCGGAUAACAUUUUGAACCGCAUGGUUCGAAAUUGAAAGGCGGCUUCGGCUGUCACUUAUGGAUGGACCCGCGUCGCAUUAGCUAGUUGGUGAGGUAACGGCGCACCAAGGCAACGACGCGUAGCCGACCUGAGAGGGUGAUCGGCCACACUGGGACUGAAGAACGGCCCAGACUCCUACGGGAGGCAGCAGUAGGGAAGCUUCCGCAAGGGACGAAAGUCUGACGGAGCAACGCCGCGUGAGUGAUGAAGGCUUUCGGGUCGUAAAACUCUGUUGUUAGGGAAGAACAAGUGCUAGUUGAAUAAGCUGACACCUUGACGGUACCUAACCAGAAAGCCACGGCUAACUACGUGCCAGCCGCCGCAGUAA
rnacentral:rRNA from 1 species